ensembl:lncRNA
AGCGUUAUUUUGUUAUCGUUUUUAUCAUUAACUGGGUCUUUUCACCUGUGUUAUGAAUAAAUCUUCUUUUUUUCGGUACCGGUACUAGUUUUAUUUUGUUGUAUUUAUCCGCGACACCUUAAAGGCCGGUCCGUGAAAAUAUUGUCGGGCAUAAACCGGUCCGUGGCACAAAAAAGGUUGGGGACCGCUGAUUUACAGAUGAAACUUUACUGACUUUCAAAGUUCUGUUAUUGAAAUCUGAAAUCUGUUAUUGAAACAGAUACUGUUCUACAGGAAGUUUCAAAAUCUGCUGUGAUGCAAAAGGACUGAAGAAAUAAUCAUCCUUCCCUCUUUGUAUAACCAGCUUUGAACUGUUUUUGUCUGCUGAGCUGAUCGUGAAUGAUCGACUCUUCCAAACUAUUUUAUUAUUAAAACAAAACAAAACUGCCGAUGUCACGUCAAAGGAGAGAGAGAGACCUGAUGAAACAGCUGGCUGAAGAAAACAAACCACCAACUAAAGAAGAGGAGACAGCAGCAGCAUGGAGAAGAUGAUCUGCAGGAUCCUGCUGCUCAUCAUCCUCACCUCAUGUGUCUCUGGAUCAUUUGUAGUCAAUGUGACACAGACCUGCUAUCAGGCAGAGGAGAACCACAACAUCACACUGGAGUGGACGUUCACCACCAAACCUGACAGAUCCUCCAAAACUCUCAACAUCCUCUGUGAACUCUUUAUCAGUGAUAACGUCUCAGUCCUGUAUCAUGUUCAUGAAGGUGUUGAGGUGUCAGAGUCUCAGGAUGAAAAGUUUUCAGGACGAGUCCAGAGUGACAAAGACGCCCUCAGAGAAGGACGAAUCAGACUUCAACUGUCCAGACUCAGGACUGAUGACUCGGGUCUGUACCUGUGUGAGGUCAACACUGAUUAUGGCUUCAGUGUUGGAAGAUGUCGACUCAACGUCACUGCAGCUGCUGCUGAGACCAAACAUCAAACUCCAACUAUGAACCCACAGACAGAGAGUCGAGGAAGGAUCUGUUGUGUGUUUUUGGGUGGCAUGUACACCUAUGUACCUAUAUAUCUAUCUGCACUGAAGAUAUAUGCUGUAACCUUCAUGUAGACUCUUAAGCACAAGCCGUUUUGCCUUCACCAGGGUUUAUUAAGGUGGUACAGUAACAGGGCAGUUAAUGUAAGGGGAGAGUUCUCCUGAAUAACUCACUUUCCAACUCCGAUAACUAACUCCCCCCCAAUACACACUCAAUGUCUUUCACGCAGCACAACCAAAACUUGUCUCUUAAAAAACAGUAACAGAGAUGCUGGAGAACAAGUGGGAAAUUACCCAGCAACAGGGGGCGGGGUUACUGGCCCCUAUAAAGAGGGGUCAGAGGAGACCGGGGCUCUUCUCUUUCUAUCUGUCUCUGAGUGGCUCUGCUGUCUGUGCUUAUGGCUCUACACCUCGGGGUUUGCUUUGCUUGCUUUGUUAUGUGUUGUCUUGCUGGUAUGUAUAUGUACUUUCUUGUUUUUCAUAUGAUUCAGUGCAUUAAACUCAGUUCCAAGAAUUCUAGUCUGUUCCUGAGGAUCUUUUUGAGCAAACUGAUUUUAAUUUUAUCUAAAAAAAAACAAACAAAAAAACUUGAUCUCCACGUCAUUGGUGGGACAAGGUUAUUAUGUUGGCUUCAAAAUUUGGCACUUCUUAUUUAUCCAGGACACAAAUAUGUGUGAGAGCAGGUGUGAAAACAAGAGCGUUGUAAAGUUUGCUGAUGACUGUUACUGUGAGUCAGCUCCAGGAUAAUAACAGCAGCCAUGUCCCAGUCAUUGAUGAUGCUGUUAGACGCUGUGAUGAGUCCUGUCUUCAUAAAACACACACUGAUUUUAGGAUACGUCCAUUAAGGGAAAGAUUCCCAGAGGAUAUAAAUCCACUUCCAGACAGCUGAUGGAGAGCAAAGAGCAGCAGCGAAUGUGUGGGACUUUAAUUGGCAGGGGACGGUAACACCACCCUGUACCUGCUUACCCUUACUGGAUAUUUAUUCAAGAGUAAGACAGGAGCCCACACAACAAGUCUGUGGUGUGUUUCAUCAAGAAUGAGUAGGAAAUGAACUCUCCUGUGUGCAAAGUUUGUAUGAGGUCUGUCAAAUGAGCCAGAGACCAGGUUUGUGUUUCACUCAGCUGAUUUUAAAACCUCCUCUCAGACUCACUGCAUUACAAAAACAAAGAUUACUUUCUGAUUUUAAAUAUCUUCGUGGUUCAUGGAGAAAUCUUGUGUUGAGUUCGAGUCUUUGUCCAGAAUGUGAAUUUAUCUUUUUUUUUUUUUUUUUUUUUUUGUCUGUCCCAUUUGGUUCUUUAGCCGUCAGAAUUGAUGUCUGAAGACCAACAAGGAUACCAAAUGGAUUUAUUUUGCCAAAUGGAUCAUCAUGGCAUUGCCGUAUUGGUCCAUUUGAUCAAACUUUGUUGUUAUUAUUUACUUUAUUUUCAGUUGUUACAGAUGGGACAGACAUGACUGGGGGAUAGGAAAGGGAGAAAGAAAGAGAGGAAGGAAAAGAAAAACAGAAGGGAAAAGGGACAGUGAGAAAGGGCACUUACAAAGAGCAAAGAGAAAGAAAAAAAAAUCUCCUGGAUCACCUGUUGAGAGAAAAAGGAGAAGACAAGCAAAAAAAAAAAACAAAAAACAAAAAAAAAACAAAGCAACAUACUAAACACAACACCAUCACGUUAAUCUAGCUAAGUGUGAACAGCAGUAAAUACUAAAUAUUGAAUGUUGUUGUGCAGCACGCAGGACAGACAGCGCACAAUGUGCUUUGAAGUAGCAGCUAAGAAAGGUGUAGUUUAUGUCUAUGAACAGUGAACACCCGUGUGUACACCUGUGUGGAUCAACGCGCUUGUAUACAAAAGGUUUCCCCAUGUAACGGUCUGCUAGAGGGUGUGGAGGGCCAUAGCCCCGUCCCCCAGGGCAUGAAGCAGGCAUGGAGGAGAUCCAGGCUCCAGACAUCCAGAGGCCCCAGAGUGCGAGAGCCCAAGGAGUACCACCGGAGGGGCAUCCGUGCCACCUUCCUGGGAAGGGCUGAGGAGAUCCCCAGACGAGGGGGUCACCCAGUAGCCACGGAGCAGAAGCCAGAGGGGGCUGCACCGGCGUGCCCGCCAGCUGUGCCAGAGUGAACCGAGUUGCAGGCCCCGAGGCCGGAGGCCCGAGGGCCCCCUUUGCUCCGGAAGAGGCCUGACCGAGCGGCAGGCACCAGGCCCCGCCAAUUAGCAACCGGGAGUGAGCUGGUGCAUACCUGAGCGCCCAGCCCCGGACACCAAGAACCACCAAUGCACCAACCCCUGAGGGCAUCAGUGAAUUUAUCUUUAAUGAGUCUACUUCCUGUGAGUUUAGUCCUGUUAGUUAGCUUAGUUUUAAGAUAAAUGUAUGCAUUGUUCUGUGUGUGUUCUUUGAAGGUCUGUGUCUCUUGUGUCUAAUUAAGUUCAGCUGUGUCAUAUCUGCUCUUCAUCCCGUGUUUGUAUGUUUUCAGGUUUGUUCUUUAGUUUUUCCCAAUUUGGGUUAUGUUUUAGCUCUGCAAUAAAGCUCACUCACAUCACAGCCAGUGCCAGCAUUUUGGCUCCUUCCUCACGACACCACACGACUGCUGCCACAGCCGUGACAGAUUGAGUGUCUGCAGCUUUAUUUUCAUGCUGCUCUGAAACUCUGAAGGAAAGUUUACAGUCUAGAUCUCCAUGAUGUAACAGGACUGGAGACUUCAAAGCUCCCUGUAGCUGUGUGGGUGUUUGUACAGACUGCAUGGAUUUAUACAUUUACUGAAUAUAAGAGUGCUUCCCUUAAUUCUUCAUUGUUUUUUACCCACAGUAGGUGACAGAGUUGAACACAGAGAAUCAAAUGUAGACCCUUGGGUGUAGACAUCAUGCAGUUCAGUGACUUAAGUCACAGAAAGAGAACAUAAAAACCUCUGAGAGAAAAAGUGCUGCAAAUCCACUAUUCUAAGCUGAUGUGUUUUUCUGUCAUACCAGAUGCAGCUUUCUGCAUCAUCUAUUCAACGUCCUUAUCAGUGUUACAGGAUACAAACUCCACAGCAGUGGAAAGUUAAAGAAAGUUCAUUGAUGGUUCAAAGGUCGCUCAGCAGAGGAUGAUUUAAGAUGUUAUCAUUCAGAAUUAAAACAAGAAGUUUGAACUUUUUAUAAAGAUCACAUUUGAUCAAAUUCGUUUUAUUUAUAUAUAGAUAUAUUUAAAAUUAAUAAAAGACAAAACCUAAUGCUGUGCCAGCUUCUAGCUUAGUUUGACAGUGUGUAGAACAAACCUGAUGAAAACUUAAAGUCAGCCAAACACAUCCAAAGUUUGAGGCUGGGAGGAAAAAAGGUCCGUGUCUUAUGUCGGUGUGUUCACUUUACGUUUCCCCUUUCUCGUCAGGUCAAUUACGUUCAGCUGUGUCUCCCUCCGGUUUUGCCAUUCUCCGUCUCUUUCUAUGUGUAUUUAUAGUGUGUGUCCUCGUGUGCUCGUUGCUGGUUCGUCUGUGUUAUUUCCCUGCGUCAUCCUGUGUUAUUUCCCCGUGUCUCCCUGCGUCUCCAUUUAAGGUUUCAGGUCUCUUUGGUUAGUUUUUCCCUGUUUAGGUUAUUCUUAAGUUUUGUUUCAUGCCUGUUACAUUCCUGUUUGUUUCACC